rnacentral:lncRNA from 1 species
UCCCACGGACAGGAGUGGAGGCAGUGUGACUGACUCCUGCCAGCAGUGAAUGCAGCUCCCUCCCUCACUGCUUCUGUGCUCUGCACUGGUCAGGAACUGGCUCCUCCUGGUUUGUGCCUGGGGUAAGAGGCUCAGGGAGCAUCCUGACAUCAGUGUGACCAUGAUUUCACCAGGCUCACUUACUGCAAGGCUGUCAUCAUCGGAAGCCUCUGCUCCUGGAAACAGAUGAGUUUGGCAGGGCAAGAUGCCUCAUCAUAUGUCUUAGCAGAACCAGACCUUCCGUAGCGGCAGAGAUCUGUGGGCUGUGAAGACUGGAGAUUGCAACAGGGAUGCUUCUGUGUCCAGGGUAGGUGAAUCUUGCAAUUUCAGCCUCUCUCAAGAAAAUGGGACACCUUUGCUCUGUGAUUUUUAUUUCAGUCCAGUAGUAUCCCAAUGGGAAGGGAGGAGACGCUGGCACUUUUCUGCACCAUCUCCCAAGACAACUGUGUGAAGGAAAUGAGAGCUGUUAUUAUUCCUACCAUAGUGAAAUAAUUGUUUCUGAACACUUGCUGUUUCCUCCACUUGCUUUUCAGUCUUAAGCAAUUUCUGAGGUUGACACACC